GGAGGUCAGGGCCUGGGCUUACAGAACCCGAACUUGUGGUCCCUAACACCUCCUAUCACCGUGGGGGGCUCCAGGCAGCACCCCCACCCUCCUUCCAGGCCAGGGGCUCCUCCCAGGACAUUCCAGCCUCAAUGCUGGCUGGGAGCCCGAACCCCCCCUCCUGGGCAGGUCCACCCCUCAACCUCCUUGGUUUCUUCCUUCAUCCAUGGGGAACAACCCAGAGAGAGAGAGAGAGAGAGAGAGAGAGAGAGAUGAGAGCGCGAGAGUGAGCGCACCAGCAGGGGGAGCAGCAGGCAGAGCCAGAGGGAGAGGCCGACUCCCCGCGGAGCCUGAGCCGGGAGCCCCACCUGGGGACUCGAUCCCAGGACCUCGGGAUCACGACCUGAGCCCAAGGCAGACGCUUCACCAUCGGAGCCCCCCAGGCGCCCUGAGAAAUCUUAUUUUGAUGUCAUGUUUUUAACCAAGUCAAGCCAAUGGAAAAACACAACAACAACAACAACAACCCACAGAUACAUUUUCAAAAUUUUUAAUGAGGGCAGAUCAGUCAUCCUGAUUUUUCCUUUGGGCUGGGGCUCGCACAGGGCUUGCUGCGGCACCCUGAUCCUGCCUCGAUGGGACACCCUACGAUUCCGUCCAUCCUGGAUUUGGGGGGGGCAUCUGUUUGAGUCAAACUGUCACAUCAAAAUAUUUGUCUCACUCUGGGCCAGUGGUGAUGGUUGCACAGCCUGGUCACUCUUCAAAGCCCUCUGAGCUGGACACCAGCUCAGCUAAAAGCGGGCUUGAUGGUUUGUGAAUUAUAUCUCAAUUUAAAACAUGAGAGAAAAAAAAAAAGACUA